rnacentral:rRNA from 1 species
GGAGGGAUCAUUACAAGUGACCCCGGCUACGGCCGGGAUGUUCAUAACCCUUUGUUGUCCGACUCUGUUGCCUCCGGGGCGACCCUGCCUUCGGGCGGGGGCUCCGGGUGGACACUUCAAACUCUUGCGUAACUUUGCAGUCUGAGUAAACUUAAUUAAUAAAUUAAAACUUUUAACAACGGAUCUCUUGGUUCUGGCAUCGAUGAAGAACGCAGCGAAAUGCGAUAAGUAAUGUGAAUUGCAGAAUUCAGUGAAUCAUCGAAUCUUUGAACGCACAUUGCGCCCCCUGGUAUUCCGGGGGGCAUGCCUGUUCGAGCGUCAUUUCACCACUCAAGCCUCGCUUGGUAUUGGGCAACGCGGUCCGCCGCGUGCCUCAAAUCGUCCGGCUGGGUCUUCUGUCCCCUAAGCGUUGUGGAAACUAUUCGCUAAAGGGUGUUCGGGAGGCUACGCCGUAAAACAACCCCAUUUCUAAGGUUGACCUCGGAUCAGGUAGGGAUACCCGCUGAACUUAAGCA